CAUAACCCCAUAACCUUCGCCUGCAUAUAUUUGUUGAAUCUAUUAGCUGUUGAAUGAAAUUACAUAAAAUAUCAAAAUGACAUAUGAUCAGUUUCAUUAACUCACAGUUUUAUCCUUUGUCUUUUGGGGUUUCGUAUAAUGGGUUACCAAAUACCAAAAGCAAACCAUGUCCAGAAUCUUUUAGAACAAGCCAUAGAGCUAUGGAGAAAGAAAUCUCAAACAAGGUUAAUUUGCUCCACCAAAGUGCUGAAGAAUGUGAAGAGCAAGGGGUACUAUUUAUUUCUUCUUAUCAUUUUUGCAUGCAAACAAUAUAUAUUUGCAUGAAAGGUUCACAUUUAUAAUACGUUCAAUGCGAAUUCAGACUUUGUUUUUAUGUACUUUAAUUGUCUUUCAUGUUUUCGGUGAGCAUUGAAGUUAAAAUUACAGCUGAGGUUCCCAUAAAGAAUGUUGUUCUAUGAAGUGCUUACCUCAAAGGCAGCAUGGGUUGUACUUGAUAGAAACCUCGUCAAGAAGAUACUCUUCGACUCAUAACUACAGGAUCUGAAGAAAAAAGGACUCUGAUGGCUUCUUCACUGGCCAACACAGUUUGAGAGCAGGGAGUAAAGGGGCAGAAGGAAGGUGCGACAAGUUUUGUAGGCUAAUCUGGUGUUGGAAAAUUCCGG